CCUACGGGUGGCAGCAGUGAGGAAUAUUGGACAAUGGGCUUACGCCUGAACCAGCCAAGUCGCGUGAGGGAAGACUGCCCUAUGGGUUGUAAACCUCUUUUGUCAGGGAGCAAUCGGAGCUACGAGUAGAGUUAUCGAGAGUCCCUGAAGAAAAAGCAUCGGCUACCUACGGGCGAGCAGCGGCGGUAAUACGGAGGAUGCGAGCGUGAUCCGGAUUUAUUGGGGGUACAGGGUGGGUAGGCGGACAGCCAAGUCAGUGGUAACAUCACGGGGCUAAACCUCGCUACGCACUUGAAACUGGCGUGCUUGAGUAGGCGAGGAAGAUGCAGAAUGCGGGGUGUAGCGGUGAAAUGCAUAG
rnacentral:rRNA from 1 species